UACGUAGGGUGCGAGCGUUGUCCGGAAUUAUUGGGCGUAAAGAGCUCGUAGGCGGCCUGUCGCGUCGGAUGUGAAAGCCCGGGGCUUAACCCCGGGUCUGCAUUCGAUACGGGCAGGCUAGAGUGUGGUAGGGGAGAACGGAAUUCCCGGUGUAGCGGUGAAAUGCGCAGAUAUCGGGAGGAACACCGGUGGCGAAGGCGGUUCUCUGGGCCUGUACUGACGCUGAGGAGCGAAAGCGUGGGGAGCGAACAGG
rnacentral:rRNA from 1 species